rnacentral:tRNA from 1 species
GGAGAGGUGGCAGAGUGGUUGAAUGCACCGGUCUUGAAAACCGGCGAGCGUUAAUAGCGUUCCGUGAGUUCGAAUCUCACCCUCUCCGCCA